rnacentral:rRNA from 1 species
AGGACGAACGCUGGCGGCGUGCUUAACACAUGCAAGUCGAGCGGAAAGGCCCUUCGGGGUACUCGAGCGGCGAACGGGUGAGUAACACGUGAGCAACCUGCCCCUGGCUCUGGGAUAGCCUCCGGAAACGGGGAUUAAUACCGGAUAUUCACUGUCUCCUGCAUGGGGGGUGGUGGAAAGUUUUUCGGCUAGGGAUGGACUCGCGGCCUAUCAGCUAGUUGGUGGGGUAAUGGCCUACCAAGGCGACGACGGGUA